GGAACACACAUGUAAGCGCAUACACACGAAUUCGCCACAACGUCAUCCAUUGCAUAGAAGGAAAAGGCCUAUUCUCGACGCAGCAGACAAGACACACGCUGGCCCCUACACCAAACCGCACUCCUCUACGAGACGCAGGAAGCGAAGGGUGCCAGUGAGUGUGGUCACGGCAGGAUACUCCCCUAAGUCUCUCUCCCGCACGAACGCAUCCUUCUUCGCCUCCUUGAGCGAGCAGAGGGUGAGGGGGAGGGAAGAUGGCUGACCAUAGCUCCGAGAACUCGACAGCGGCGGAGACCGUAAACAGUGAUCUCGAUGCCACGCGCCCCGGCACCGACGCCGCCACGCUCAGGGGCAGCUCCGGCGCUGACGAGACCUCCAAGAAUGUGACGACAAGUGGGCAGGACGUGCCAGAAGACCAACAAGGAUCGACCACUGCAGGCGUGGCAGACGGUGCGAAUGGCGAGGCAGCGGUGAGCGCCGAAAAGGCAACGGCCGCCAACACCAACAACGACGGCAGCGGCAGCCAAGAAGAUGGCGAAGCGGACGAGGAUGAGGAAGAGGACGACGCCGGGCACUGGGAGCGCGUUGCGGCGAGCGAUGUCAAGAACAUCAUCUUGCAAGUGUUGAGCCCAUACUUUGACGACGACGUCGGCGGUGGCGCCGCUGCAGGCCCUGGUGGUGAUUUGGCCGCUAUACCGUCUGCGUCGGGCCCUUCGCCGCCGGCAAUCGAAGAAGACCGCGACGGUGACGACACGGCGCAACGCUACGAUCAUUUCAAGGCCGAGGAGUGGGUGGCGCUGGUGUGCGACGGCAUCAUGGAGCGCCUGGUCGCCCUUGGAAAACCGUUCAAGUUUGUCGUGCACGCGAUGGUGAUGCGCAAGUGCGGGGCAGGUGUGCACGUGUGCUCUAGCUGCUAUUAUGCCCCUAUGGAUGGUUGGCUGAGCCACGCCCACGACCUCUCUGCACACCUCUACGCGGUUGUGACGGUGUACUGGUGCGCAGUGUAGGCGUCGUAUGCGCGCAUCUGUGCGCCCCUUCCUCCCUCGAUGUGAAUUAAAGCUCCACCCCACCCCUCCUUCUACCACAGAUCGCGGGCCUCUCCCUCUCUCAAGCAUUGGCGCGCGCAGCCUCGCCACGACGGUGACGAGCCUGAUCAACCCCCCCCCCCUUGCAGAUGGAAGCGAGACGGCCGAAACCAUCAAUAGACGAUGUCGCCAUCAACAACUGCAUCAGUGUACGAUGUACACUGGCCUUCCUGAGUCUUUGGGUGAGUGUGUCGUGGCGAUGAUGACGCGCGCAUCCUCUCACCGGCCAUCUCCACCGUUGCAACCAGUACUUGGAUCUGUUUCUUUUUUUUGCGUCCGAAACGCGGAGGAGAUCCCCCAAAGUCUCUCUCCUGUCGUGCGCUCCCGCACUCUCGACAAGAGAUGCGCGCCCGUGGGCCUCACGGGUGCGUAGCGGUGUGGUCGAUGCACAUGCCGCACCCACCCACCUCAUCUUCCCUCGCCUUUGCAUUCAAAUGUGCGCAUGGAUAGACAUGUACAUCGCUAUUG
rnacentral:misc_RNA from 1 species